rnacentral:lncRNA from 1 species
GAGAUGUGUUACCUGCGGACGGAGCAGAACGGAAGCAGAGGGACAAAGUAGCGGAUUCCUGACUUCUGGCAAGGGCCCCUUCCUGGGUUUCACGCCGCUGCGUUCUGGUCGAGGCUGGAACGCGCGCCCAGCCCUUUGUGUGGCUGUGGUCCGAGGCUACGGCUCAGAAGCCGAGCGCUGGGAACGGCAGGACUGCCGAGCCUCAAGUAGGGCUGUCGAGCGCGGUGAGAGCGUGCGGGGACCCGGGUGGAGCCGCUCCCUCGGUGGAGCCACGAGGGCCCGACACCUGGGUGGGAGAAGCCGCCUGGCUCCGCGGUGGAAAGGCUCACGUGGCUGAAACCUCGGGGGAUUAGAGUCUGGGACCGGGGCUGACCGGGCAAAGCCGGCGGGCAUUUCUUGUCAGAUUGUGCGUGAGAGCGGCGGGGCCACAGAUUUUAGAGAGCCGGACAGACGGGGUGUAUUGUGGCAAGUUUGCCUGAUCUUCCUGUCUUAGCUUCCUUUGUGCUAUUGGGGCUGACUCCUCAGAUUUGUGAAACAAUGAAUGGGCUUUAGUUGGAGGAGUGCACUCAGGGUUGAGAGACGUCUGCACAGUCCCUCCAGAAAUUUACCCAGUGGAAGGGUGAGGCCAGGCCUGGCCCAUCUCCCAUGCCAGGGGGGUGGGAGUCGGGAGGGACGGGACCUGACCUCCGGCCAAUCAACAGCCAAGUCUUAUUUAGUCUCUUGCCUUCUCAGGGCUCCUGCACCAGGAAAGAACAAUCAGAGGUAAAUGAGUGAGGAGGUGGAUGGAGGUACCCAACACCUGUCAGUCUCCUUAAUCAGCCUGUAUCUAUAUUAAAGACCACUCCCUGCUUUGUGUGAAUGUGCAGCAGCUCCUGCUGCUGUUGUUGAUGAUGUUUUAUGCUUUCUGUAGCCCAGGCUGUCCUAGAACUCCCGGAGAUCCUGUCUCAGCCUUCCUAGUGUUUAGGUAAUCGUCUAGGUCACCACGCAUCUUUAUGCUAUUGUUAAGACUUGUUGAUAAAGGGGUCUUUGCUGAGAAUGGUUAAAGACAGGUCCUGGAAGACACUAGCAUAGAACUGUAUGGACAGGUCCUGGAAGACACUGUUUGGAAUGUUUUUUUUUUUUUUUUUUUUUCCAACGGAAGAAUAAUGAGAGGUGAGACAGACAGAAGGAAGGAAGAAAAUCAACCUCAGAAUGCAGCUUUCCUGGCAACUUUUUUGGGGAUCAGAGCUAGCGAUUCCUUGAAUGCCUUGUUCCUUGCUGGCACUUUCACGUAGC